UGUCUUUGACCGCCCCAGAAUUCACACACGAGCGUGUAAAAUGGCCAUACUAAAGCGCGUGGUUGGAUAUUCAAAUUUUCAGGUGGGGCUAACCAAGAAUUGCAAAACCGCGGUACAGUGGUACACUUCUUUUUUUCGGAAAAAUUAAUUGGACUCUCGCACGCGCUCCUCCUCCUCUUCACUGUUGCGGCGUGAUGACACGCGCUUCAACUCCGUUUGAUAGAGAAAGAGCGCUUCUCCUUUCGAAGUUUCAAACUCUCCUUUCACUUUCUCUCCUCUCAGUACUGUUUGUUUCCCGAUAUUUUUUCAAAAGGGAAAAGAAAGAGAGAGCAAUGGUAUCAAGCGUUUGAAGUCGUUUAUCUUCGUUUAUAGAUUAACGAGUCUCUGGUUCCAUUUCUCGUAUCUCGUGUGCAUACUCGUGCUAGAACGAGAUAUCGAUUGCGAAAUUUAGAGUGAGUGAGUGUGAUUGCGAGAGCGAUGCCGCGAUCCAAUUCCGCCGCACACCACCACCGUCAGAGCUCCGACAACUUCAUCCUCGACGCUCAUAGAAGCUGGUUACAGUCUUCGACUUUCGCGCAGGAGUUCGGAACUCGAUCUUCGAGCUUGAGGAAAAUAGACGAUGAUCGUGUUUUGAGCAGCGGCUUGCUUGAUCUGCAUUCCUUAGAUACCGAGCUUUUACCUGAGACUUAUGGUGAUCACAAUGGAUACUUCACUAAUCACACUGUUCGGGGACAGAAUUUUGAUGACUAUGAGUCAAUCCUCUCUGGUAACAAACAUGUACAAAGGUCUCGGGGAUUGCCUGAGAACAAUUUUCUGAAAAGUGUCCCAACAGAAAAGGAGAGAGCAAACAAUGUUGCCAAGAUUAAAGUAGCGGUCCGGAAGAGACCCCUUAAUAAGAAGGAAAUAGCAAAGAGAGAAGAAGACAUUAUUUCUAUAGAUUCAAAUUUUCUCACAGUGCAUGAAAGAAAACUCAAGGUGGACUUAACAGAAUAUGUUGAGAAACAUGAAUUUGUCUUUGAUGCUGUGCUGAACGAAGAUGUUUCAAAUAAUGAAGUAUAUGCCGAGACUGUGGAGCCAAUUGUUCCGCUCAUUUUCCAGCGAAUAAAAGCAACUUGCUUUGCAUACGGUCAAACUGGCAGUGGGAAGACAUAUACUAUGCAACCAUUGCCUCUCAAAGCUUCACAAGAUAUUUUAAGAUUAAUGCACCACACCUACUGGAAUCAAGGUUUCCAAUUGUUUGUUAGUUUCUUUGAAAUAUAUGGGGGAAAACUUUUUGAUCUCCUCAAUGAUCGAAAAAAACUUUUCAUUAGGGAGGAUGGGAAACAACAGGUUUGCAUUGUUGGCUUGCAAGAAUAUAGAGUAUCUAAAGUAGAGACAAUCAAGGAAUUUAUUGAGAAAGGAAAUGCCACAAGAAGUACUGGCACAACUGGAGCAAAUGAGGAAUCCUCUCGAUCACAUGCUAUACUUCAGCUUUGCAUUAAGAGAUCAGCUGAUGGGACUGAAUCAAAGCCUGCUCGACUUGUGGGCAAACUAUCUUUUAUAGAUCUGGCUGGAAGUGAACGAGGUGCAGAUACUACAGAUAAUGACAAGCAGACUAGGAUUGAAGGGGCAGAAAUAAAUAAAAGCUUACUUGCUCUGAAAGAAUGCAUUAGAGCUUUGGACAAUGACCAAGGGCAUAUCCCUUUCAGAGGAAGUAAAUUGACGGAAGUUCUGCGAGAUUCCUUUGUUGGUAAUUCGCGCACUGUAAUGAUAUCAUGCAUUUCACCUAGCUCAGGUUCAUGCGAGCAUACUCUUAACACGUUAAGAUAUGCUGACAGAGUGAAGAGCCUGUCAAAAGGAAACAACUCUAGAAGGGAUCCUCUUUCUUCCUCAAACCUUAGAGAGUCCACUGUGUUGCCUGGGUCUUCAAUUUUAGCUCAUGAUGAUACCUUGGAGGAUGAAAUAACGUAUGUCUCCACUGACAGGAAUCGAUUUGGUUGGCCCAAACAUCCAGAAAGAGAACUCUCUCCUCCAAAUAAUGUGGACCGUGUUCCAAGUGGUAGAAUGGGGGGAAAUUUGGCGUCAUCUGGGUAUUCUAAUCCACCAAACGGUCCAAGAGGUGGUCAAAAUGACAGAACUGCAAAUGAAUAUGAUUACAUAGGACCCAUAUAUGAACAAGACAGAACAAGAAAAACGAUUAAGAGGGUGGAUAACAACCACUUAUCUGCUUUUGAAGACAAGAAGAGGAUAGAGUCUCGUGUUAAUGUUGAUGCAUCAAAUUUUCAGACUACUUAUUCUGAUCCGGAUGAUAAUUUAAAUGCCCUCCUGAAGGAAGAGGAAGAUCUAGUAACAGCUCAUCGUAGACAGGUGGAGGAAACCAUAGACAUUGUUAAAGAGGAGAUGAAUUUACUUGUUGAAGCUGACCAACCAGGAAAUCAAUUGGAUGAUUAUAUUUCCAAAUUGAAUACCAUUUUAUCACAAAAGGCUACAGGAAUCCUUCAAUUGCAGACACAGUUGGCUCAAUUUCAGAGACGUUUAAACGAGUGCUGUGGAGUGAUUCGGGUUAAUGAGUAAAGGAUAAAGAAUGAAGAGUCACAGCAAUCCCGUUGAAAUGGCUUGAUCGUUGUUUCCUUUUGCUGCAGUAGAUGUCAAGGUCCAUAGCCCAAUAGGGAUCUUCUCACUCUCCAUGUCCAACAUGUUUUCGUCUGUUGCACCUAAACCUUUGGUGAUGUGUCAUUCUUUGAUACUAUCAUGAUACCUAAACAUUUAAGCGGCGAUAUCAAUUCUGGUCGACCUUUUAUCAUUGGAGUCUUCGCCACGUGUUCUAUGCAGAAGACACACUGAUCCAAAGUUUUGGUGGACAACAGGCAUGACAUGCUGAUUCUAAACCCUACAACGUAUUGGACUCUUGCUAAUUGCCAAGUGUCUACCGUGCUUUUCAAGCUUCGCCACAAAAGUGAAAACUUUCUCAGAUUCUGGUGAAUGAAUUUCCAAACAGUGCCAAUGCCGAAAAGAAAAGCAAAAGGCGUUUGCUUCUUCAUCCUUAUCAAUUUUAUGAAACGCCCUUUUUUUCUGCAUCCGAAGACUUGAACAGCGGAAUUUUCAUAUCAGUAAAAUGCUUUAU